AUAUAUGUUAAGUGGAAAAGGAUGUGGCGUUGCCCAGACAACUAGGAUGUUGGCUUAGAAGCAGCCAUCAUUUAAAGAGUGCGUAAUAGCUCACUAGUCGAGUGACACUGCGCCGAAAAUGUACCGGGGCUAAACAUAUUACCGAAGCUGUGGAUUGUCCUUUGGACAAUGGUAGGAGAGCGUUCUAAGGGCGUUGAAGCAUGAUCGUAAGGACAUGUGGAGCGCUUAGAAGUGAGAAUGCCGGUGUGAGUAGCGAAAGACGGGUGAGAAUCCCGUCCACCGAUUGACUAAGGUUUCCAGAGGAAGGCUCGUCCGCUCUGGGUUAGUCGGGUCCUAAGCUGAGGCCGACAGGCGUAGGCGAUGGAUAACAGGUUGAUAUUCCUGUACCACCUAUA
rnacentral:rRNA from 1 species